rnacentral:rRNA from 1 species
UACGGAGGGGGCUAGCGUUGUUCGGAAUUACUGGGCGUAAAGCGCGCGUAGGCGGACCUGCAAGUCGGGGGUGAAAGCCCGAGGCUCAACCUCGGAACUGCCUUCGAUACUGCGGGUCUCGAGUCCGGGAGAGGUGAGUGGAAUUCCUAGUGUAGAGGUGAAAUUCGUAGAUAUUAGGAAGAACACCAGUGGCGAAAGGCGGCUCACUGGCCCGGUACUGACGCUGAGGCGCGAAAGGCGUGGGGAGCAAACAGG